AAACGUAAAUGGCGAAAUCUGCCGAACCGUGUCAGGAUAGAAAUAUAGCAGCACUAAAGCAAUCUUUUCGGGUAUUUACGGUGUUA
rnacentral:SRP_RNA from 1 species